UUGAAACACAAAAACCUAGGAACUCCUUGAUGAUCACAAACAAAUAAUUUUAGCAUGCAUAUUAACGAGGGAGCAGAAGUCAUAUACUAAAUAUGAAGAUGAGGAUCUGGUAAUAGAGUGAUCUCCACAAGGCCCCAAAGUAGAAGUCCUCCAAUGGUGAUCCACAAGGGAUAGAUCAGGGCCCUUCCCAAUUUGAUGUAUUGCUGCGGCCAUCUUCACAAGUCCAU
rnacentral:lncRNA from 1 species